rnacentral:rRNA from 1 species
AUUGAACGCUGGCGGCAGGCUUAACACAUGCAAGUCGAACGAUGACUAACUAGCUUGCUAGUUAUGAUUAGUGGCGGACGGGUGAGUAACAUUUAGGAAUCUGCCUAGUAGUGGGGGAUAGCUCGGGGAAACUCGAAUUAAUACCGCAUACGACCUACGGGUGAAAGGGGGCGCAAGCUCUUGCUAUUAGAUGAGCCUAAAUCAGAUUAGCUAGUUGGUGGGGUAAAGGCCCACCAAGGCGACGAUCUGUAACUGGUCUGAGAGGAUGAUCAGUCACACCGGAACUGAGACACGGUCCGGACUCCUACGGGAGGCAGCAGUGGGGAAUAUUGGACAAUGGGGGCAACCCUGAUCCAGCCAUGCCGCGUGUGUGAAGAAGGCCUUUUGGUUGUAAAGCACUUUAAGCAGGGAGGAGAGGCUAAUGGUUAAUACCCAUUAGAUUAGACGUUACCUGCAGAAUAAGCACCGGCUAACUCUGUGCCAGCAGCCGCGGUAAUACAGAGGGUGCGAGCGUUAAUCGGAAUUACUGGGCGUAAAGCGAGUGUAGGUGGCUCAUUAAGUCACAUGUGAAAUCCCCGGGCUUAACCUGGGAACUGCAUGUGAUACUGGUGGUGCUAGAAUAUGUGAGAGGGAAGUAGAAUUCCAGGUGUAGCGGUGAAAUGCGUAGAGAUCUGGAGGAAUACCGAUGGCGAAGGCAGCUUCCUGGCAUAAUAUUGACACUGAGAUUCGAAAGCGUGGGUAGCAAACAGGAUUAGAUACCCUGGUAGUCCACGCCGUAAACGAUGUCUACUAGCCGUUGGGGUCCUUGAGACUUUAGUGGCGCAGUUAACGCGAUAAGUAGACCGCCUGGGGAGUACGGCCGCAAGGUUAAAACUCAAAUGAAUUGACGGGGGCCCGCACAAGCGGUGGAGCAUGUGGUUUAAUUCGAUGCAACGCGAAGAACCUUACCUGGUCUUGACAUAGUGAGAAUCCUGCAGAGAUGCGGGAGUGCCUUCGGGAAUUCACAUACAGGUGCUGCAUGGCUGUCGUCAGCUCGUGUCGUGAGAUGUUGGGUUAAGUCCCGCAACGAGCGCAACCCUUUUCCUUAUUUGCCAGCGGGUUAAGCCGGGAACUUUAAGGAUACUGCCAGUGACAAACUGGAGGAAGGCGGGGACGACGUCAAGUCAUCAUGGCCCUUACGACCAGGGCUACACACGUGCUACAAUGGUAGGUACAGAGGGUUGCUACACAGCGAUGUGAUGCUAAUCUCAAAAAGCCUAUCGUAGUCCGGAUUGGAGUCUGCAACUCGACUCCAUGAAGUCGGAAUCGCUAGUAAUCGCAGAUCAGAAUGCUGCGGUGAAUACGUUCCCGGGCCU